CGUCGUUGAUGCCCAGGAGUAGGGAUGCAGACGAAUCGGCGGCGUUCGGUAAGGAUUCCCAUUCUAUGGCGUCGUUCACGCUUAGUUUACUAACAUUUUAGUUCUUGUAAAUUCUAAUCGGUAGAGACAAUGAUUUUCUUGAAUGACUCCCUGGGUGAGUUUCUCAUAAUCGAUGCAAGGGGAGAUGCAAGACAACGGCUACAAGGAAUGUCUGGAGAAACGGACAGACACAGCCGCCGACAAUUACAAUGAAUCAUACAAGAUAGAUACAGCGAACUCUCGUACGUGAAUGCUGGACGUUCCUGCCCACGCUUCUGGCCCGCUAAACUGCGCUUCUUUCUUUCCAUAAAUCAUUCGGGUUACGUUAUAGCAGAGAACAAACAGAAGACUCUAGACGAUGACAAGCUGCUAAUUUGGGAUAUUAUCAUAAAUUGCAAGUAUCCAGUAAACUAGCCUUACCCGGCACAUCCAAGGAAUGUUAUGAUAUCGAUAGAGAUAAGCUAGUCUCUGGGUACACCUAGAGAAGAUAGUAGAGGUAACAUAUACUAAGUGGCAGAAGAACCGGAUUCCUGGAAGCUGAAGUUCUUCUCGUGAGAAGAUAAAGAUUUCAGUGUUCCCUGGAUCACUUUUCUUUUCUCCUGAAAUAUUUUCACUGAAAAAGCCAAGCAAGAAGCCAAGACAAUAAAAUUGGAACAGAAAAAAUGAAGGAAGGAAGGAAGCAAACGGCGCGUUUCCGUCGCUCUAAACAGCACCAGGAAAGUCGCUACAAUGAAAGCCUCUCUGGACACAGGAAGUAGCAGUCGUUCUGCCAUUAACUAUUUCGUUUUGCUCCCACAUCCGGUUUCAUGGGUGUGGAUACGAGCAAGGCAGGGUCGUCCUGUAUUGUAUAUGCUAUAUGUGGAUCACAACAAACCUUUAUGCAUAUAUGCAGGCAUGAGAACGCUUACGAUAUGCAAGGCUCUACUUUGCGAAUAAAUUUUCGUGCCUUAGGUCUAGAAGCUAUUUAGCAGAUACUAUGGAAACAGGUGGAUGGGAGCUUUAAUUCUUAUACUUCCUAAAGAAGCCAAACUAAAAAUGGACUUUUCCACCUGACUCGAUCAAGCUUUUAUGGAUAUGCUAUCAUAGUGGAACACCCGUUAUAAAAUGGAGGCCGGGAUCGCAUGCUAGUGAAAUCUACAAUCGGUUUAUGGUGGCAGCAUCGAUUCUCGACACGCAACCCAAAGCGGCUCUUGAGUCUCAGGCUAAGCAGGAUUAAUUAUCUGCUGCUUUGAAAGAAAUUAAAAGCCGCCUCUUCGCGUAUGGGACUUAUAGUUAGCAUUCUCAUGCAAAGGAUCUAAGGGAACUACUGGGUCAGAGUCCCAUUACCACAGCAUGAAAAAUGAAAUUCUAAAACGUUAUCAGGUGAGCUGAAUUCAUUUUAUUUGUUACACGUCUAUUCUACGAAUUCUUAUGAAGUAUAGAUGCACUAGAUAUACACCUAACCCUCCGUAGGGUAGAAGCCCUCCGGAUAC